AUUGAACGCUGGCGGCAUGCCUUACACAUGCAAGUCGAACGGCAGCACGGGGCAACCUGGUGGCGAGUGGCGAACGGGUGAGUAAUGCAUCGGAACGUACCCGGAAGUGGGGGAUAACGUAGCGAAAGUUACGCUAAUACCGCAUAUUCUGUGAGUAGGAAAGUGGGGGACCGCAAGGCCUCACGCUUUCGGAGCGGCCGAUGUCGGAUUAGCUAGUUGGCGGGGUAAAGGCCCACCAAGGCGACGAUCCGUAGCGGGUCUGAGAGGAUGAUCCGCAGAACGGGAACUGAGGCACGGCCCAGACUCCGACGGGAGGAAGCGGUGGAGAAUUUUGGAAAAUGGGCGCAAGCCUGAUCCAGCCAUGCCGCGUGAGUGAAGAAGGCCUUCGGGUUGUAAAGCUCUUUCGGCGGGGAAGAAAUUGCUUAGGUUAAUACCUUGAGUAGAUGACGGUACCCGCAUAAGAAGCACCGGCUAACUACGUGCCAGCAGCCGCCGUAACAC
rnacentral:rRNA from 1 species